UUGCCCAUUUAAGACCAUCAUGUCCUAAGUGGUUAACACAGGGGGGUAGAAGAACUCUCUCUAAAAAUAACCUGAAGUGAAGGCUGAAUACUCCUUCCUUUGGACCUGUCGGGAGAAACACCU
ensembl:snoRNA Small nucleolar RNA SNORA26